AUUGCCUGUUUCCACUAUUUUGACUUUAUCACAUUUCCUGGCUCAAUAUCUACCGUGUUACUACAGCUAAAAAUGCAGCAGAACUCUUGUCUUGGAGAUUACUCUGAUCCCACAGUUAAAUUCUCUAGAACUCUCACUGGAGGAGGUCUUUUUGAAGAAGAAUUCUGGGAAAGUAACUACGUGCCAACAACUAUCAAAUGUCAUCACAAAUGACAUAAGUUCACUAACCG